GACGAACGCUGGCGGCGUGCCUAAUACAUGCAAGUCGAACGAGAGCGCGCGGUGCUUGCUGGGGUCAAGCUAGUGGCGGACGGGUGAUUAAUACGUGGGUAACCUGCCGAGCAGGGGGGGAUAACAUCCGGAAACGGAUGCUAAAACAGCAUAGGCCUUCGAGCCGCAUGGCUUGAAGAGGCACAGAGGUGCAAGCUUCUGCUGAUGGAUGUACCCAUGUUGGAUUGGAUAGUUGGUAGGGUAAGGGCCUACCAAGGCGGUGAGCCAUAGCGGACCUGAGAGGGCGACCGGCCACAUUGGGACUGAGACACGGCCCAAACUCCUACGGGAGGCAGCAGUGGGGAAUUUUGGACAAUGGGCGCAAGCCUGACGCAGCAAUGCCGCGUGAGUGAAGAAGGUUUUCGGGUUGUAAAACUCUGUUGUCAGGGAAGAAAAAGUGGAGGCGUAAAUGCUUGGCUAUUGACGGUACCUAACGAGAAAGCCACGGCUAACUACGUG
rnacentral:rRNA from 1 species